UCCAAUGAUUGAUAAGGUCAUGUAAGCCAC
rnacentral:piRNA from 1 species